GAUGGCAAAUGAUGUUAAAAUUUUCUUAUCCUACACACUGAUUUCCAUGAAGAUUCAAAACUCCGCUUAUUAUCUGAUGCCUUC